rnacentral:rRNA from 1 species
AGUGAACGCUGGCGGUAGGCCUAACACAUGCAAGUCGAACGGCAGCACAGUAAGAGCUUGCUCUUACGGGUGGCGAGUGGCGGACGGGUGAGGAAUACAUCGGAAUCUACUUUUUCGUGGGGGAUAACGUAGGGAAACUUACGCUAAUACCGCAUACGACCUACGGGUGAAAGCAUGGGAUCUUCGGACCUUGCGCGAUUGAAUGAGCCGAUGUCGGAUUAGCUAGUUGGCGGGGUAAAGGCCCACCAAGGCGACGAUCCGUAGCUGGUCUGAGAGGAUGAUCAGCCACAGUGGAACGGAGACACGGUCCAGACUCCUACGGGAGGCAGCAGUGGGGAAUAUUGGACAAUGGGCGCAAGCCUGAUCCAGCCAUACCGCGUGGGUGAAGAAGGCCUUCGGGUUGUAAAGCCCUUUUGUUGGGAAAGAAAAGCAGCAGGUUAAUACCCCGCUGUUCUGACGGUACCCAAAGAAUAAGCACCGGCUAACUUCGUG